rnacentral:rRNA from 1 species
GACGAACGCUGGCGGCGUGCUUAACACAUGCAAGUCGAACGGAAAGGCCCUGCUUGCAGGGUACUCGAGUGGCGAACGGGUGAGUAACACGUGGGUGAUCUGCCCUGCACUUCGGGAUAAGCCUGGGAAACUGGGUCUAAUACCGGAUAGGAGCCAUCUUUAGUGUGAUGGUUGGAAAGUUUUUUCGGUGUAGGAUGAGCUCGCGGCCUAUCAGCUUGUUGGUGGGGUAAUGGCCUACCAAGGCGGCGACGGGUAGCCGGCCUGAGAGGGUGGACGGCCACAUUGGGACUGAGAUACGGCCCAGACUCCUACGGGGGGCAGCAGUGGGGAAUAUUGCACAAUGGGCGCAAGCCUGAUGCAGCGACGCCGCGUGGGGGAUGACGGCCUUCGGGUUGUAAACUCCUUUCGCUAGGGACGAAGCUUUUUGUGACGGUACCUAGAUAAGAAGCACCGGCUAACUACGUG